CUAAGAAUAUUUCCGCAAUGGAGGAAACUCUGACGGAGCGACGCCGCGUGGAUGAUGAAGGUCGGAAGAUUGUAAAAUCCUUUUAUGACUGAGGAAUAAGUACGUUGAGAGAAACGUCGUAUGGUGACUGUAGGUCAUGAAUAAGCAACGGCUAAUUACGUGCCAGCAGCCGCGGUAACACGUAAGUUGCGAGCGUUGUUCGGAAUUAUUGGGCGUAAAGGGCAUGUAGGCGGUAUUGCAAGCCUGGUGUGAAAGGCGGGGGCUCAACCCCUGGACUGCGCUGGGAACUGCAUUACUAGAGUCGCUGAGGGGCAAUCAGAAUUCCAGGUGCGA
rnacentral:rRNA from 1 species